AUUGAACGCUGGCGGCAGGCCUAACACAUGCAAGUCGAACGGUAACAGGAAGAGGCUUGCUUCUUUGCUGACGAGUGGCGGACGGGUGAGUAAUGUCUGGGAAACUGCCUGAUGGAGGGGGAUAACUACUGGAAACGGUAGCUAAUACCGCAUAACGUCGCAAGACCAAGGAGGGGGACCUUCGGGCCUCUUGCCAUCGGAUGUGCCCAGAUGGGAUUAGCUAGUAGGUGGGGUAACGGCUCACCUAGGCGACGAUCCCUAGCUGGUCUGAGAGGAUGACCAGCCACACUGGAACUGAGACACGGUCCAGACUCCUACGGGAGGCAGCAGUGGGGAAUAUUGCACAAUGGGCGCAAGCCUGAUGCAGCCAUGCCGCGUGUAUGAAGAAGGCCUUCGGGUUGUAAAGUACUUUCAGCGGGGAGGAAGGGAGUAAAGUUAAUACCUUUGCUCAUUGACGUUACCCGCAGAAGAAGCACCGGCUAACUCCGUG
rnacentral:rRNA from 1 species